rnacentral:rRNA from 1 species
CCUACGGGAGGCAGCAGUGAGGAAUAUUGGUCAAUGGGCGAGAGCCUGAACCAGCCAAGUAGCGUGAAGGAUGACUGCCCUACGGGUUGUAAACUUCUUUUAUAAGGGAAUAAAGUGAGGCACGUGUGCAUUUUUGUAUGUACUUUAUGAAUAAGGAUCGGCUAACCCCGUGCCAGCAGCCGCGGUAAUACGGAGGAUCCGAGCGUUAUCCGGAUUUAUUGGGUUUAAAGGGAGCGUAGGUGGAUUGUUAAGUCAGUUGUGAAAGUUUGGGGCUCAACCGUAAAAGUGCAGUUGAAACUGGCAGUCUUGAGUGCGGUAGAGGUGGGCGGAAUUCGUGGUGUAGCGGUGAAAUGCUUAGAUAUCACGAAGAACUCCGAUUGCGAAGGCAGCUAACUGGACUGCAACUGACGCUGAUGCGCGAAAGUGUGGGUAUCAAACAGGAUUAGAUACCCUGGUAGUC